rnacentral:rRNA from 1 species
GGGUAAGUAGGUUGGUCGUGCCACCGGUACGUACUGGUCUCACUGAUUCCUCCUUCCUGAAGAACCGUAAUGCCAUUAAUUUGGUGUUGCGGGGAAACAGGACUGUUACUUUGAAAAAAUUAGAGUGUUUAAAGCAAGCUAACGCUUGAAUACAUUAGCAUGGAAUAAUGAAAUAGGACGAUCGAUCCUAUUUUGUCGGUUUCUAGGAUUGACGUA